UUUUGUUGAUUCCGGGGCCGACUUGCCAGACCUGGUUCACAGUCUCCGCCUUCUCGGGAACCUUGACGGUAGCGAAGAUCGUUAGGGUUCCGCUGGCGAGCUCGGCGCUGGUGUCCCAGAAGUCGAAGGCGAGCUUUCCGGGAGUGAGGAUGUUGUAAGAGGUGAUGUUGAGGGUUUUGAUGGCCGGGAUGCCGUCUUCUUUGGUGUAGGCGACGAUGGCUUGAGCGCCGGACAUUUUGGUGCCGGUGGGGUUGAUGGCCCAGGCGAUCCAGCCGCCGGGCUUGGAAGGGGCGGCGACGAAGGCGACGGCGAGGGAGGAGUUGGAGGCGUUGUAGGAGUAGUAGAGGUGGGAGUCGAGGGCGGAGAGGACGGUGCAGUUGGCGAAGACCUUGUUGUUCUUGAACUUGGUGGAGGGGCAGGCGGUGGCUGCCUGAGAGGGGGAGAUUAGAAGAGCCGAGAGGGAGACCAGGAGGAAGAGGAGGAGGGGAGAGAAGGAAGCCAUUGGGGAGAGAGUGAGAGUGAGUAGUGCUUGCUUUGCUAAAUGGAAGGGAAGCUUUAAGCAAGUAGGGUUAUUUAUAUCCAUGGCCGGAGUGAGGUGUGGAGAUAAACGUGGAGCUUCAAUGUUUAAUUUAUGAUUGGUGCUCCGAGAUUAGCUUAUUUGUAUUUGUGUCCAGAGUACUUUAUUUGCCUAUUUAAGACAAAAUUAUCAUUUUGAUUAGGUUUUAUAUGAUGAUGCUCAAAUCGGAGUAACGUUAACCUAGUCAAUAUAUAACUGAUCAAGUAAUGUUGAAUAUAUGAAUUUAUCAAUGAAAGAAAUAAAAUAACACAAUGUAAAUAAUUAAGAGUACUGAUUAAUCGAGAAUAAUUUCUUAAGCCACCAAUUUUUUUGGAGGGGGUUGCGAAUCCUAGGUUUCAUCUGGCAACUCUGGGGUACUUUUUUCGGGCAAGAUGGCGGUGAUUGUGACUUGGUUCAUGGCGGCUAUAUGGGGAAAAUCCUUGACGUUGAUCAUGCUUGGGUGGGAGGAUCUUAGACCAUAUUGUUGGUUUUGAACCUUUUCAUUGUUGGAUAACGGGGCCGUUGGAUCUUUUGGUGAUUUCGGUGGCUGGGAAGGGUUACAAGCGAGGUUGGCGAUGGUCUGGGUGUCGCAACAGCCAGACCAUGGUUUGUUUUCCGGCUUGGCUUGGCGAUGGUGUGGGUCAUGGUCUAACCAGAUCGCUUCAACUCAUAUUAGAUUCAGACUUGAGGGCGAAGGUGCUGGCUUUGAAGGCAUCGUCGAUGGUCUUGGGAGUCGGUGAACCAACUGUGGUCGGGUGGCCACCUAACACUGGUAUGGUUGAAGGUUCUUAUGUGGCGCCGACGUCUGAGUCAGAGGUCGUGGGUGGACCUAAAGGUUGUGGGCCCGACUUGUUAGGCUCUACAACCGAAAGGUUGACUGAUAGGUUGUUGAGGUCGGGCCUGAUGUGUUAAUUAGGCUUGCCUUCAAUUACCUUGUUGUUGUUGUUGACGGUGCAUUGGCUAACCCUGGCGUCAAGGGCAACAAUGCGGCGUAGAUAUCAGAUCUUGUAGCUUGGGUAUUAGAUUGAAUUUAGUUACUUGAUUUUUGAUUUGCUAGGUGUACACCAAUAAUUGAGGUCUUAGACACAUCUAGUUUACUGUUUGAGAUUUUUACUUUUCUUUUGUUGCAGGCUCUUUAUGAGCCAAUUUGUACAAGAAUGAAGGAACCUCAAGUUUGUCGACAUUUCUCUUUGGAGAUGAAAUACUAGAUCAACUAUAAAGGCUAAAAAUGCCCAGUAUCCUAGCACCAUGCUGUGUAUACUGAAGCUGGGUCACGAGCACUAGGUGAAAAUAUUUGAGAAUCGAUCGAUCUCAAAAUGGGAUUAUUGGGGGCUACAUGCGUGGGCUACUCACAUAAUGCAAAGAAUACCGUUAGAUGAGCACUUUGGGGGCAGUGAAUAUGAAUACGGGGGUGGGUAGUUGGUGAAUUUAUAUAUAAUGAAUGAAUUCAUAUGAGGAAAUUCGAUGUAACUGAGGACUUGUUUUUCCUGGGUCGUCGACUCGUAAUAGCAGGACUUGCUUUGCCUCCACUUUAAUGUUGGAGAUGACUUCCUUUUUUUAUCUUUUGUAAAAGCCAACAUGUGAACAGGACGACUUGGAAUUUGAUUCCUCUUCUCUUUAAUUCUGUAAACCACACCGUACCGGACCACCCAACCUUUUCAAGUUAUAACUAGGGAAGGCAAUGGAGUAUGAUGGAAGAAUACGCAGAUGAAUAUGGUGUGUAUAUGAUUCUAUGUUUCGAUCUUCUUUAUAGGAGGAGUGGAAUUUCUUUUCUUUCUUUUUUUGGACAAAAGGAGUGGAAUUUCUUUUUGUUUUUGUUGUUUUUGUACUUUUUCAGAUAACCCAAUCAUCUCAAUUGAGUUAGAGUUUUACUUGAGAUUUCAAUCGAGUAAGAGUUUUAGUAGCUGAGAAUUUCCAAAUGAGGUAGUUUUGGAUAAAUAAAGUAUGACGUCAUAUUUCUUAAAUAUAGAAAUAAAAUUGUAAUCGGAAAGUAUGAUAUCUCAAUUUCGUCAUCAAAAAACUGUUCUGAAUAGGAAAGUAAGUAAUAUGAGUUUUCUUUUGGGGAAAGUAAUAUGAGUUUCUUAAUAAUAUUUUUGAUAAUAAAAUCUGAAUAAUUCACAAUUCAAACGUUUAUUGAAUACUUUAGUGAUAAUAACCAUUAAAUAUAGUUUAUAGAGUAGAUAAUUAAUGUGCAAAAAGUAAGGAGGAAAAUGAAUGUGAGAGGAUUCAGGUUCAAGAUUCCUUUAUUUUCCCUCGCAGGAAAAUUGUUAUUUCCUUAGAUGUACGAAGCACAAGAAAGGAAAAGGCUUCUCUCUCCAAACUUUCUAUUUCUGGAACCAAAUAUGGCUUGACGAUAGAAAACUUAUAUUGAAGAAUUGUUAUUAUCCCAAACUUUCCAUUGCGGGAACCAAAUGAGGCUUGACGAUAGAAAAUUUCUUAUUUUGAAGAAACUGUUUGAUUUCGUCGUUGAUUAUUUGCUUUACCUUGUCAUCCUCAGUUCCUAACAUAUGUACAUGCAUGUAUUUGAAAGGAGCAAAUACAAAAAGAUGAAAUAGAUCGUAAUACUUUCCCAUUUGUAGCGUAUCGACUAGAACUUAUCAAAACACAUCAUGGCCCACAAAAUUCAAUUUAUUUUCUUGAAAUUAAACAUCUUUCUGAUUUUAAUUGGUAAUUCAAACGUAUACUCUUGGUUCUUCUAGUAUGAACGCGAAGCAAAUUUAUAUUUUCCGCAGUACUGUCAAUACAAUUGGACGUCCUCCGUUCUCAAUUGCAAGUUUUCUAUUCAUUUUGGCUCUUCUUAUGAUUCAAAGAGUUUUGUUCGUAGAAUUAACAAAUAGGGCAUGUAUACUUACAUAAAAUAUGAAAUGAAAUUGAAAAGUGAGGGAAUGAUUAUGGCAAAAGGUGAUUCUAACGUUUACUUACACAUAAUGAAAUUGGAAUGAGUGUGGCUCCCACCCCUAAUAAGGAAUCGAUUCUUUAACAACUAUGAAUUGUAAUACCAAGGGGAGAGGUGGGAUUAAGAAUGAUAUCAUCGGGAAUGAACUUUUAUUCUGAAAAUACCUUCUUUAAUUUUAUUAUGCUAAUAAUAUUAAGAUGCUAAUAAUUUCAAUUUUUUUUUCCCUUAAAGGCUUUUUUUUAUAUACUAAUAAUAUACUAUUUGUGGAAGUUGUUUAUUUUUUUUUGUAUUUAUAAAAUUGCUUACUUGAUUUAAAUAUAAUAUUACUAAAAUGUAUAAACAUAUGAUGCUUUAAUUUUGUUGUUCAACUUUUGCAACUUGAGGUUUCAGAUACACCCAAAAUGCUAGUACUAGGUCUAAAUGAUUUUGAUAAAUCAUGGUCUAGAAUUGAGAUACACCAAGCGCACAUGUAGUCUCUAUAUUAUAUUAUUAAUAUGUAACAACAUGAUUACAAUUAAUACACUAAAUAGAAAUAGUCAUUUGGUUUGUUGAUUAUACAUAACUUAUCAAUUGAGACAAUCAAAACGACAAACAAAACUAGAUCAACAUACAAGGAAAAAUUGUGUUGAGAGUGACUGAAAUGUGUAGCUUAUUUUUUUUAUGGGUAUUUUUGUAAUUAAAAUAUUAAUUGAUUACAUUCAUGUUCUAAUUCCAUGUGGUAAGUAAACAGCUCAAUGGAAUUGAAAUAUCCACAUACUGUUCAAUUCCGUCUCUCAUUCCUUUUGUCUUUCAUUCCUGAUGAAUUUCAUUCCAAGUAAGUAAACGUGUUAAUGAUUUUUUUUUUAAACUGAAAUUUACACAUCCUAAAUUACAAUCCACACAUCAUGUCCCACUUUUUUAUAUGAAAAUAUCAAAAAUACCUUUUUUAGACAACUUAAAAAGAUUAAAACAUGGAUAAUUUUGACAUUUUUAUAUUAAAAGUGGGUCAAGAUGUGCAUAUUGUAAUUUAGAGCGUACAAAUUUCAUUUUUUUUUUUAUGACGAAAAAAUAGUUAAAGGUGGUCAAGAUAUUGACUUUCACAGUCCCACAUGCAUCGAAGGCCAAACGAACUUCUCCAUCCAUUUUUCUUGACUUUGCACUUGUUCUUUUUGGUCUUUGCAUUGACUUGCACGUUUUUUCAGCCUGUGAAUCCCCUCAUAUCUGGGUUUGAACACUUUGCGUGAUGAUAAAUCUGAAAGCCAUCAAUUGAAGUCAGAACAUUUGGAAAAAUGGUUUCUGAUUGAUCAUGGUUCGCUGAAUCAUGACUGCAACUCUUAUGGAGAUGGUAAUGUAUUGGAAUGGAUCGAAGCUUUAUGACUUGAACUCUUGAAGAACAUAUAUGUAGCGUAGGAGAUAUGAUUAUGUAUUGGAAAAGAUCUUUAUGAGUGAACAUCUUUGUAGCGUAGAAAAGAUGUUGCGUGGACUUCAUAUUGUUAGGUUAUUCUUGUUAGAGAAACAUAGAGGUAGUGUGUUAGUACUUAACCCGGUUUUUUAAUCGGAUUCAUUAUUGUGAUUUUCAUCACAUUAUUUGAUUGAGUCACACAAUUCUAAUAAUCUUACAGAGAUGUAAUAAAAUAUGUUGGUGGACCGCUGUUGCGAACUUGCGAUCCAACAACAUUAAAGUUGAAAGAGGAUCAAAGUAUAUGGAGAAAAUAGCCGGAGAAUAAAGACGACAUGUGAAUCACUGGUUGACAUAUUGUACAUCAGAGAGGAUUCAAAACACCAAGGUGCACUUAAACCAAGAUGAAUAGACCGUUGGAUUACAUUUAUCCUAUUAUUUAAUAUUUAAAUAAAAAGUUAAGUAUAAAUAUCAACGGUUAAGAUUUUCUAAUAAAUACUUGGUUCACUUGUACCUUGAUACAUGCAAGAAUUUUCGAUUGUACAUAUCCCAGAAUUGCAUUUUCUUCAAACAAUACCCCAUUGGAGACUUCAGCACACCCAACAGCCACAUUCAAUUGCAACUUAUGAUGUGACGCACUUAUUAUAGCAGAAUCGGACACACAAUUGAUGAACAUGAUCAUGGCUAGGAUUUGUUUUGUUAGACCCCAAAUUCAAUCAUGAGGAGAUGGGGAAAGGCCCAUUGAGUAGUUGUUGUUCCAUAAUUGUUUGAGGGAACAUGCACGAGGAUGAGAUGAAAAUAAACGAGUCUAACCGGCGGGGGAACGUAAAACCUAAGUUUUUAAGAACACAAUAAUAACUAAAAAAAAAUUGAUCUAUCUAUGGUCCGUUAGUUUAUUUCUAUGUAUGACACUCUCUACCCGACAGUUCAUUUUUUGAUCUUUGAUGAGUAGUGCUACUUUUAUGUCACUCUUUUUUAUAUAGAUUCAUUUGUUAUUAUUCGUAGUACAUGUUAUUAUUCCUAUUAUCAUAUUUUGUAUCGAUCUAUAUGUUUUAUUACUUAGCAUAGCAGUUCAUUACUUGAAUAAAAGAACUUGAGCAUUGGUCCAAGGAGAGCCUAUUCAGCGCACUCGUCAUCUCCACCGUCGAUUUUGACGCGGACUUAACAGAGCUUUUUGACUUUUUCAAAAUCGACGGUGGAGAUGACGGGUGCGCGGCGCAUCCGGGUGCGCUGUAUAAUUUUCGUGGUCCAAGUCUCCAAGAUCAAGAAGAAUGGCAAACAAAGUCGAGACUCAAGACAGAGAAAUAUUGUCACAUAUAUUGCUUUUCUGUUCUCCUUGCUCCCUUGUGCCAAACGGAAUGUCUGAAGUUGUGCAACGCAAAACUCAUCAUGAUUGUGCUUCCAUAGAGGUGUAGAAGGCUUAACUUGAGCUGCAUGGAACUGUUAUCAGCUCAUGCUUUGUCUAACAAACAUUUUAGAAAUCAUAACUUCAAGUUAAGAUGAUUGAAAAAAAAAAAAAAUGAAAAAAAGAUGGUGCAAUCAUGUCAAAGGCAUAUAGUAAUCAAGUCCAUGUUUACCACGCACUAAUCACCUGCUUAAGAGCCAUACGGUAAGAUAUGAUAAAGAAAAAUAACUGCCCAAACCUGCAGUGUGUAAUUGUACCUUUCAUAAUGCUGUUUGAUAAAAAACCUGGAUACAUGGAAGAGAAAGCUUGAUUAUUUUCGAGAUUAUACAAAGGUCUUAUAAGAUAACUAGGUUUUAUAAUUAGAUGUUCUAUAUGAUAUGAUGCGACAUUAUAAUAUUAACUUCGUUACAGACUUGCAACAAACAUGCUUUUGAAAUGAUUGAUAAUAUCUAAUACCUCCUGGCCCAAUACAUGUAGUUGAGAAAAUUGAGGGAGUUGAGAAUGCUAAGAAGUGUGUAGAACAGAUCCAAGCGCCCAUGAUUCAUGUUCAUCCCUCCAAGCCAUUCUUUGCCAUAGCUUCCACUAACUGAAUUUACUAUGGACACCAGAAAUGAGCUCAAGAAGUACCCCAUUGAUGUCGAACACCAUGACAAAGCAGUGCACAUACUUCUCAUGCUACUUGGUGCCUCGGAGUAGAAGAACUCGAGCAUCCCACCUAGAGUGAGCAUAUCAGACACUCCCAGCAACAAGAAUUGCCACCCGAGCCAAAACACAGACAUCACAUUGUUGUCAGCAGCCUCUGCGCGCCUCUUAGCUUCGACUAGAGCAGCUACUGCCAUUGAGCCUGAUGCUAGUGCUAGCCCCAGUCCCAUCCUCCAGAGCGGUUUGAAAAUGAUGUUCUUUCCAGAAUAUAAUCGUUCGUAUAAGGGAAUCGAGGAUAGCAUGAUGAUGAGAGGGAUCACAUUUAAUGAUGGAGUGGGAAUUUCAAAGUUAUGUAGUUUUCUAUUCAUUAUGCUCCCUUGUACCACGGAGAAUGUUUGAAGUUGAGCUAGGCAGCAGUUCAUCAUGAUUGUGCUUGCAAAUAUAGGUAAAAGGCCAAUAAAAGUUCUUGUUUCCUUUACUUCAGCUGCAGUGACUCUGUUGUCUAUCAAUGCUUUGUCCAGGAACCUGAGAAAUCAUUGCUCAAGUUAGAUAACAGAUACAUUAAACCUUGUUGCAUGCCAUAGUGUUACCAUGCCUGCAGCAAUAACACAAAAGAAGAACAAGAGAAAUGCUAGCAAACCUAUUCUCUUGAUAAAAACCAUUCAUUUUCAAGAUCACACUUUAAGAUCAUUGUUGCAAGAAAUCAAUCGAAUUGGAAAUGGUUUGCUCAUAUAAAGGUUACGAAAUCUAUAAUGAAGAUGACAACAUUAAAGGAUUAAUUAAGUUCCAACAUUGCGCCCAUUGAGAAGACAGGAAAAGAAGUUACUUAAACUUGUGAUCUCCAUCAGCUCUGUUCAGGUUGAGUGCAGCUACUGCAUACUGGUUUCCCAAUCUCUGGUUCGGUGAGGCUUUCCAGUUUCGAGCAGCAUAAGUAAGUACCUUUUACAUUCCAAAACACAGAAAAAUCAAAAUGUAAAUAGUGUAUUUGUACUUCAAUAGUAUUUUUUUUUUCAACUGCAUUUACAUACCUUGAUGAUCCUUGUCAAUGCACUCCCAGUGGGUCGUUUGUGCCUAUAAAAUGGACUUCCACUGAUGAAAAUAAAAAGUGCCAAACACAAAACUAUAACUGUUAUGGGAAAGCUCCAAUUCCAGCCUUUGUUCUCUUCCACCCAGACCAUGACAGUUGCGCUAAUGAGUCCACCAGUGCAUAAGGAAAAGAAAAACCAGUUGAAGAAGGCAGAUAUCUGUCUCUGAUUGCUGUGAUCAAGCUGAUCAGCACCAUGUGCAGGUAAGUUGGCAUUGAUUCCAGCAGCACCAGCAGCAACGGAGUAAAUGCCGGUGUACAGAAAUGCUGCUUGAGACUGAGAAGGCUGUAGAUUCAACGCCGGCCGUAACCUUGUGCUAUGAGAUUGGAUUGUCAGCAAGAUUAGUCCCUGUGUAUAAUUUGAGUCAAGAGGCUGUAAAUUUAGGAUUAGAGAUGAUAGUGA
rnacentral:lncRNA from 1 species